GGGUAAGCGGCUUGUUAGAGCCCUCGGGCACGCCCCCUCCCGCAGCACGCUUCCGGCAAGCGCUCCGCCUACCUCGUGGCCACGCCCCAGCCUCGUGUUACUCCCCGGCAGGUCCCGCCCACCACGCACGCAGGUGCCGGGGUAGUGGGCGUUCUAAGCCAGCGACCGUUGAUCCCGGGGUAGGCGCGCGGUAACCCGGACCCCGUGCCAGAAAGACGACCCGACCCGGGGGGUUGCCGCGGGCCGCAGCGCGGAGUCUAUAAAGGCGCACGGCUGCGUCGACAGCGCUCGGGACAUGGAACCUCCGCCCGGGAGCCCCCUAGAAGACACCGCUUCCCAAAGCCUGGGAGACGAUGAGUUCCGAGAACGGCAGGACGCGAAGCCUACCGUGAUCUCAGUAACUGGAGGAGACAUCGGGAAGGAUCUACUGUCCGAACCUGAGCGGGGAGCAGCAGCAGAAGGGGAAGAAAGCCACGGCGGCGCGGGAGCUCCCUGCCCUGUAGACGAGAUCCAGAAGGGCGGCGGCGGCGGAGAGGAGCCCCCGCAGCAGCAGCAGGAGUCCCACGCGGCCACCGAGGAUCCGCAGCCCCAGGACAGGCAGCCACGCCUCCGCCACCUGUUCAUGCGGUUGGAACUGAAGGAGCUGGAGAGAGUUUUCCAACGCAGCCAGUACCCCGACGUGUUCGCGCGAGCCAAAGCUACCUAUGGGCUGGAAGCCACCGAAAUCUGCCAGCCCUUGCGCUCCGUCCAAGGUGGGAAUGAUGCCUACAGGGCUGGGCAUCGAGGUAAAUAUUUUCCUGCAGUAUGUAAAUGAAUCGUCAAGAAAGUUGGGCCGCGCUCCUGUUUUCCUAAAUCUCAUUCUCUUGGCUCAGGAUUG
ensembl:lncRNA